GGCGGGGUAGCUCAGUUGGUUAGAGCGACGGAAUCAUAAUCCGCAGGUCGGGGGUUCAAAUCCCUCUUCCGCUA
rnacentral:tRNA from 1 species